rfam:Cephalotus follicularis DNA, scaffold: scaffold2005, isolate: St1.
AUGAGGUAUGAUGAUGUUUAUCCAUAUAUACUGCAUUUGGAUGAUGAACAACUACAUGCACUACCAUCUGACCUCUG